GGGGAAUCUUGCGCAAUGGUCUAACGACUGACGCAGCGACGCCGCGUGUGGGAGGACGCCUUUCGGGGUGUAAACCACUGUUGCCCGGGACGAACACCUCUUUUCGAAGAGGCUGACGGUACCGGGUGAGGAAGCACCGGCUAACUCCGUGCCAGCAGCCGCGGUAAUACGGAGGGUGCAAGCGUUGUCCGGAAUUAUUGGGCGUAAAGAGCUCGUAGGCGGUCUGUCGCGUCGAAUGUGAAAACCCGGGGCUCAACCCCGGGCCUGCAUUCGAUACGGGCAGACUAGAGUUCGGUAGGGGAGACUGGAAUUCCUGGUGUAGCGGUGAAAUGCGCAGAUAUCAGGAGGAACACCGGUGGCGAAGGCGGGUCUCUGGGCCGAAACUGACGCUGAGGAGCGAAAGCGUGGGGAGCGAAC
rnacentral:rRNA from 1 species